rnacentral:rRNA from 1 species
AAAUAGAUACCCGGGUAGUCCACGCCGUAAACGAUGAGUGCUAAGUGUUAGAGGGUUUCCGCCCUUUAGUGCUGAAGUUAACGCACUAAGCACUCCGCCUGGGGAGUACGGCCGCAAGGCUGAAACUCAAAGGAAUUGACGGGGGGCCCGCACAAGCGGUGGAGCAUGUGGUUUAAUUCGAAGCAACGCGAAGAACCUUACCAGGUCUUGACAUCCUCUGCCAACCCUAGAGAUAGGGCGUUCCCCUUCGGGGGACAGAGUGACAGGUGGUGCAUGGUUGUCGUCAGCUCGUGUCGUGAGAUGUUGGGUUAAGUCCCGCAACGAGCGCAACCCUUGAUCUUAGUUGCCAGCAUUCAGUUGGGCACUCUAAGGUGACUGCCGGUGGCAAACCGGAGGAAGGUGGGGAUGACGUCAAAUCAUCAUGCCCCUUAUGACCUGGGCUACACACGUGCUACAAUGGAUGGUACAAAGAGCUGCGAACCCGCGAGGGUAAGCGAAUCUCAUAAAGCCAUUCUCAGUUCGGAUUGUAGG